GAAGACGAGAGCAACAGGUUUCAAAUAAAAAACUAAACCAAAACUGAAAAAAUAAUUACAUUUAACCAAAAAUACGAAUAAAACACCGACAAACUGCUUAAACAAAAUCACAAAAUAAAGAAAACUACAAAUAAAAGGAUCCAAACAAAUGAGUAAGGCCGGUCUCCCGUACAGUUAAAAUGUGUCUUGACCCAGUUAGGAGGCCAAAACAGGUUAAAUACAGCUAAAAGCAGGGCAGACCCAAACGGGGUUACUUUAACCAACAAAGAAAAGCAGUUUAGCCAAAAGGCAAAGAAAGUUACUUUAACCAAGACAAGCAACUUGGCCAAAAGGCAAAGCAAAUCAAACCCGAACAGGGUUAGUUUAACACGGUAAAGCAAAGCGGUUUGGCCAAAAGGCAAAGCAGCAGUGGUCUCUGGCAGGUUAGCGGGUGCAGAGCUGAUGCUCAAGGAUCCUUUGCCC
ensembl:lncRNA